GGAGACAUCAACUUCAACAGAAGGCUCUGUAAAUGGGAAAUAAGAGGGACGCAAGCGAAUCUUGCGGUCUUCACCA
rnacentral:tRNA from 1 species